rnacentral:rRNA from 1 species
UGCCAGCCGCCGCGGUAAUAUGGAGGGUGCAUGCGUUGUUCGGAAUUAUUGGGCGUAAAGAGCAUGUAGGCGGACUGUUAAGUCUGAUGUGAAAGCCCGGGGCUCAACCCCGGAAGUGCAUUGGAUACUGGCAGUCUUGAGUAUGGGAGAGGAAAGUGGAAUUCCGAGUGUAGGAGUGAAAUCCGUAGAUAUUCGGAGGAACACCAGUGGCGAAGGCGACUUCCUGGGCCAAUACUGACGCUGAGGUGCGAAAGCGUGGGGAGCAAACAGGAUUAGAUA